CCCCCCGGGGCUCCCCCGCGCCCCCGACCCCCGGCUCGGCCAAAUCCAGGCACCCCAAAACUCGGAGGAGCCCCAAAACCAGGAGUGACAAAACCCUGAGAGCUGGAGCACGGAGACCCCAAAACCAGAGACCCGGAGCCCAGAGAACCAGAGUCCAGACACCCCAAAACCCAGAGAACCGGAGCCCAGAGACCCCAAAACCUUCAGAGCUAUAACCCAGACACCCCAAAACCCAGAGAACCGGAGCCCAGAGACCCCAGAACCUCCAAAACCCAGAGAGCCGGAGUCCAGACACCCCAAAACCUGCAGAGCUCUAACCCAGACACCCCAAAACCCAGAGAGCCGGAGCCCAGAGACCCCAAAACCCAGAGAGCCAGAGCCCAGAGACCCCAAAACCUGCGGAGCCAGAGCCCAGACACCCCAAAACCUGCGGAGCCAGAGCCCAGACACCC